GGUUGUGGCUCAGUGGUAGAGCGCAUGCCUAGCGCCUGUGAGGCCCUAGGUUUGAUUCUCAGCACCA
rnacentral:tRNA from 1 species